UGGGCCUAUAGCUCAGCUGGUUAGAGCGCACGCCUGAUAAGCGUGAGGUCGGUGGUUCAAGUCCACUUAGGCCCAUCC
rnacentral:tRNA from 2 species